UCAUAUAUUGAACUGGGCUAGGCCGGCGCUGUUUACGCAACUCAAGAGCGACACAAAAUAUUGAAUUCUACUUCGAAUGCUGGAGGGAACUAUAUGCUUAAAUGUUUCCAGUGACGGGUGCAUAUGCGCAUCCAUCAGUGCAGACGAAAGGCGCUGAGGCAGACUGGACGCCCAUACAAUGCACAGACAGGGAGUGUAGCCACUCCUUGAUGAAGGCUCCGCAUCUGCACUGUCCAUUCUGCUCCCAGGACAGUCUCUUCACUGAUGAGAUUCUCCUCAAGGCGCACUACGUACAGGGUCAAGUACGUGGAUAAAGGCAUCAACUUUGGGGGAUGUCAACCAGAUCUUCACCACAUACACUGACCCAGCACCCAACAGUACCAGCCUGGUAACACACCUCAUAGUCCCCCAGUCACAGCAGCCAUCGGAGACAGACACAUCAUCCCCGGGGCUAUGAGCAGACUGAUGGGCAGCAGCCGCAGAUCGAGUACCAGUAUGCCUGCAUCAAUGAUCCGAGUCAGAGCACUGCCAAUGGGGAAGUUGUCCUUAUUGAGAUACCAGACGAAGGAAGCAAAGAGGAUUUGGAGGACGAGACUUGCUACACAGAGCACAACUUGUCGCUGCUGCUGCAGGAGAAGGAACGUCUGGAGAAGACUCUUGAGGAGGAGCGGACCACAUGGGCCCAGACUAGAGCACAGGAUGAAAGGCACUAUAGAAAGGCUUCGUACAAAGGUGAGUGGGCAUUCCAUCUGGUCUUGGUCUAAGAAUGAGUUUGGAUCUUGUUCCCUGCAUGCAACAGGUAUCAAAGGCGUCAAUCGCUUCUCAAAAGUGGGAGGGGGGACAUACCUUGAUCAGAACUAAUGCAGGCACACUAAUGCGACUGCGUUGUUUCAGUGGUCAGAUUUCUGUCAGGAUGCCAGCUGUCAUGGCUGUGGGCGAUCAUGGUGUGCACUGUUGUUGUCAUUGCUCUACAUUUUCUACACGUUCUUCGUUG
rnacentral:misc_RNA from 1 species